AGGGUCCGUAGGCGGUCUAAUAAGUCAGUGGUGAAAUCCUUCCGCUUAACGGGAGAACGGCCAUUGAUACUGUUAGACUUGAAUUAUUAGGAAGUAACUAGAAUAUGUAGUGUAGCGGUGAAAUGCUUAGAGAUUACAUGGAAUACCAAUUGCGAAGGCAGGUUACUACUAAUGGAUUGACGCUGAUGGACGAAAGCGUGGGUAGCGAACAGGAUUAGAUACCCUGGUAGUCCACGCCGUAAACGAUGGAUACUAGCUGUUGGGAGUAAUCUCAGUGGCUAAGCGAAAGUGAUAAGUAUCCCACCUGGGGAGUACGUUCGCAAGAAUGAAACUCAAAGGAAUUGACGGGGGCCCGCACAAGCGGUGGAGCAUGUGGUUUAAUUCGAUGAUACGCGAGGAACCUUACCAAGGCUUAAAUGUAGUUUGACCGGUUUGGAAACAGAUCUUUCGCAAGACAAAUUACAAGGUGCUGCAUGGUUGUCGUCAGCUCGUGCCGUGAGGUGUCAGGUUAAGUCCUAUAACGAGCGCAACCCCUGUUGUUAGUUGCCAGCGAGUCAUGUCGGGAACUCUAACGAGACUGCCAGUGCAAACUGUGAGGAAGGUGGGGAUGACGUCAAAUCAUCACGGCCCUUACGCCUUGGGCUACACACGUGCUACAAUGGACGGUACAGAGAGCAGCCACUGGGUGACCAGGAGCGAAUCUAC
rnacentral:rRNA from 1 species